UUAUCUUACUCGGCUUUUUGGCUAUAUCAAGUGUAGUAUAUGCUCUUAUCAGUUUACUAUAUCAUACGUGGACCAUCGGUUCACACGAUAUUAACUCUAAGGGGAGAAAAUCCAAUAAAAUAGCUUGAUGUCUUGAAAUUUGUGAAUCACCUUUUGUGUUAUACUAUUGGAUAGGUCUGACUCAACUUAA
rfam:Arabis alpina cultivar Pajares scaff_55210_1_contig_0, whole genome shotgun sequence.